UACAGAGGGUGCAAGCGUUAAUCGGAAUUACUGGGCGUAAAGCGUGCGUAGACGGUUAUGUAAGUCAGAUGUGAAAGCCCCGGGCUCAACCUGGGAAUUGCAUUUGAGACUGCAUAGCUAGGGUGCGGAAGAGGGAAGCGGAAUUUCCGGUGUAGCGGUGAAAUGCGUAGAUAUCAGGAGGAACACCGGUGGCGAAGGCGGAUCUCUGGGCCAUUACUGACGCUGAGGAGCGAAAGCGUGGGGAGCGAACAGG
rnacentral:rRNA from 1 species